GUGGGGAAUAUUGCGCAAUGGGCGAAAGCCUGACGCAGCAACGCCGUGUGUGUGAUGAAGGCCCUAGGGUCGUAAAGCACUGUCGGGAGCCAAGAUGGCUCCAAUGGUUAAUACCCAUUGGAGUUGACGGUAGCUCCAAAGGAAGCACCGGCUAACUCUGUGCCAGCAGCCGCGGUAAGACAGAGGGUGCAAGCGUUGUUCGGAAUUAUUGGGCGUAAAGCGCGCGUAGGCGGUUAGGAAAGUCGGAUGUGAAAGCCCGGGGCUCAACCCCGGAAGUGCAUCCGAAACUAUCUGACUUGAGUCCCGGAGAGGGUGGUGGAAUUCCUGGUGUAGAGGUGAAAUUCGUAGAUAUCAGGAGGAACACCCGUGGCGAAGGCGACCACCUGGACGAUGACUGACGCUGAGGCGCGAAAGCGUGGGGAGCAAACAGG
rnacentral:rRNA from 1 species